CUACGGGGGGCAGCAGUGAGGAAUAUUGGUCAAUGGGCGAGAGCCUGAACCAGCCAAGUCGCGUGAGGGAGUACUGCCCUAUGGGUUGUAAACUUCUUUUAUAAAGGAAUAAAACGAGGCACGUGUGCCUGUUUGCAUGUACUUUAUGAAUAAGGAUCGGCUAACUCCGUGCCAGCAGCCGCGGUAAUACGGAGGAUCCGAGCGUUAUCCGGAUUUAUUGGGUUUAAAGGGAGCGUAGAUGGGUUGUUAAGUCAGUUGUGAAAGUUUGCGGCUCAACCGUAAAAUUGCAAUUGAUACUGGCAGUCUUGAGUACAGUUGAGGUAAGCGGAAUUCGUGGUGUAGCGGUGAAAUGCUUAGAUAUCACGAAGAACCCCGAUUGCGAAGGCAGCUUACUAAACUGUGACUGACAUUGAUGCUCGAAAGUGUGGGUAUCAAACAGGAUUAGAUACCCCAGUAGUC
rnacentral:rRNA from 1 species